UGGAGGACAGGGGAUACAGGAAUGGAUGCCAAGACAGGAUUCCGAUCAAGGAUUGAGUUAUCAUCACCAGGAAACUUUUACCCAUUUGCUGUGCUUCAAUAUGCCUAAAAUAAACUACUUGGAGUCAGAAUUACAAAGUUUGGACCAACACCAGCUACUUAGUCAUGAUGAACCGAAAACUCCCUUCUUGCCUCCAAGGACUGCUACUCUGCUGGCCAUGGUGAUCACAGAAACCCAUAUACACUCAUAUAGAAACUGUAAACUAGUCCACUGUAUGUUCAUACCAUGGUUUAUUGAUCCAAUGAUAAAGCUACUGGGUGGGUA